rnacentral:rRNA from 1 species
AGACAGCAGUAGCCACGGUAACACGGAGGGUGCAAGCGUUAAUCGGAAUUACUGGGCGUAAAGCGCACGCAGGCGGUCUGACAAGUCAGAUGUGAAAUCCCCGGGCUUAACCUGGGAACUGCAUUUGAAACUGUCAGGCUGGAGUCUUGUAGAGGGGGGUAGAAUUCCAGGUGUAGCGGUGAAAUGCGUAGAGAUCUGGAGGAAUACCGGUGGCGAAGGCGGCCCCCUGGACAAAGACUGACGCUCAGGUGCGAAAGCGUGGGGAGCAAACAGGAUUAGAUACCCGAGUAGUCCCUGUCUCUUAUAA